rnacentral:rRNA from 1 species
AGAGUUUGAUCCUGGCUCAGAGUGAACGCUGGCGGCAGGCCUAACACAUGCAAGUCGAACGGCAGCACAGUGGAGCUUGCUCCAUGGGUGGCGAGUGGCGGACGGGUGAGGAAUACAUCGGAAUCUGCCCAGUCGUGGGGGAUAACAUAGGGAAACUUAUGCUAAUACCGCAUACGACCUACGGGUGAAAGCGGGGGAUCGCAAGACCUCGCGCGAUUGGAUGAGCCGAUGUCCGAUUAGCUAGUUGGCGGGGUAAUGGCCCACCAAGGCGACGAUCGGUAGCUGGUCUGAGAGGAUGAUCAGCCACACUGGAACUGAGACACGGUCCAGACUCCUACGGGAGGCAGCAGUGGGGAAUAUUGGACAAUGGGCGCAAGCCUGAUCCAGCCAUGCCGCGUGGGUGAAGAAGGCCUUCGGGUUGUAAAGCCCUUUUGUCCGGAAAGAAAAGCCCUGGGUUAACACCCUGGGGUGAUGACGGUACCGGAAGAAUAAGCACCGGCUAACUUCGUGCCAGCAGCCGCGGUAAUACAAAGGGUGCAAGCGUUACUCGGAAUUACUGGGCGUAAAGCGUGCGUAGGUGGUUUGUUAAGUCUGAUGUGAAAGCCCUGGGGCGCAACCUGGGAAUGGCAUUGGAAGCUGGCAGGCUAGAGUGCGGUAGAGGAUGGCGGAAUUCCCGGUGUAGCAGUGAAAUGCGUAGAGAUCGGGAGGAACAUCUGUGGCGAAGGCGGCCAUCUGGACCAGCACUGACACUGAGGCACGAAAGCGUGGGGAGCAAACAGGAUUAGAUACCCUGGUAGUCC